rnacentral:rRNA from 1 species
UACGUAGGGGGCAAGCGUUUGUCCGGAAAUCAUUGGGCGUAAAGCGCGUGUAGGCGGCUCGAUAAGUCUGCUGUGAAAGUCCAGGGCUCAACCCUGGGAUGCCGGUGGAUACUGUCGAGCUCGAGUCCGGAAGAGGCGAGUGGAAUUCCUGGUGUAGCGGUGAAAUGCGCAGAUAUCAGGAGGAACACCAAUGGCGAAGGCAGCUCGCUGGGACGUGACUGACGCUGAGACGCGAAAGCGUGGGGAGCAAACAGG